AACGAACGCUGGCGGCAGGCUUAACACAUGCAAGUCGAACGGGUGCAGCAAUGCAUCAGUGGCAGACGGGUGAGUAACACGUGGGAACCUUCCUAGGGGUACGGAACAACCCAGGGAAACUUGAGCUAAUACCGUAUACGUCCGUGAGGAGAAAGAUUUAUCGCCCUUAGACGGGCCCGCGUCGGAUUAGCUAGUUGGUGGGGUAACGGCCUACCAAGGCGACGAUCCGUAGCUGAUCUUAGAGGAUGAUCAGCCACACUGGGACUGAGACACGUCCCAGACUCCUACGGGAGGCAGCAGUGGGUAAUCUUGGACAAUGGGCGGAAGCCUGAACCAGCCAUGCCGCGUGAGUGAAGAAGGUCUGCGGAUUGUAAAGCUCUGUUGCCAGGGACGAUAAUGACGGUACCUGGAGAAUAAGCACCGGCUAACUACGUGCCAGCCGCCGCAGUAACAC
rnacentral:rRNA from 1 species